UUUUCUUACUGCUUUUAGUCCCUUAUUGGCAUUUAUGUGAUUUGGUUAGUUAAAACUGCAAUGAUGUUUUGGAAAUGGCAGUAUAUUUUUCUUGUGUUGAUUUGUGUAGAGAUUUAUCACUUGUAUGUAUAAGCUAUUUUACGUCGUUAUGUCUGUCCUUUUCUUAGCAUAACUUUUUCUCGAUGCUUUUCUUGUUUUAAUUUGUUUAGAAAAUGCUUAGCAAUAUCCAUCAGAAAAUGCUGGAACGGAGAGUCAGGUCUGGGUUUGAUCUUUGAAAGGGUUUUUCUCAACUGAGAGAACUGGUUGAAUGGUCUUCCCUUUCUUUUAGGGUGCUCCUACCCCAAAGAUCAAACCAAUUUUUUCUCUUAACACCACCUAUUAUUAUGAGACUUUAAAGAAGGGAUUGUCCAGAUUUCUCUUCCCCAAGGUUUGUGUUAAUUUCCCCCAUGGACGUUAGAUUUCUUUUGUUGUUUUCUUUAUUUCCUCCCGUUAAACAGUAAAAAAGAGAACACAAGGUUUACUUCGGAAAUUCCUAGUACAAGGAGAAAAAACCACGAUAACCUCUUUUAUUAUUUUCACACACAAUGCAAGUUACUAAAUUAGACAACUUUAUAGGCUCUAGCAAGCUCUAAUACAAAAGUUGAAAUAAACUUAGAGCAAAGUAAAAUACUAAAAUAUCUAAGGAUUGUCUUUCUUGGUCAUAGUGGGUAUAGGACUCAUCCAUUGAUUCUCUUUCUUGGUCAUGUUUAAUUAGCAAAAGACUAAUUUUGAGUCUUGAACAUUUAUCUUUGGUUGUAAAAAUCCAAGAGAUGGAGAGUCUCUUUUAUUAUUCUCGAUGAUUCUUUAAUUCAUGCAACUCCCAACAAUCUUUACGUUGUUUCUUGAAAAAUGGGUUUGAUUGUAUUGUUGGGCCUUUUUCCUAUAUAUAUUGUCGUCAUCUUGUUCCAUUCCAAACUGCCUUAGAAAUGUCAUUGGAGUCACUAGAAUCACUUGAACCAAAUUUCUACUGUGGGUAAUGAUAGGUUCUUUGAGAAAAUUGGGCAUGGAAAAAACUAAUAUGUUGUAAUUCUUCUUCUGAAUCACUUGAGUUAGAACUCCAGCAAUUUUUUCUUGGAAAUACAAUUGAUUUUCUUGCUUGUAGCAACUGAUGUAUUUUUUCUUGGACAUCUCUGAUCAGUAAUUGUUCAUUCUUGCAAAAUCUUGAAAAAUCAUUGGUUUCUUUCUUUCUUGGAAUUUCAAGGGUUCCCCCUAAUUAGAUGUGUGUUGUUUGGUAACGAGCACAACUCAUGAAGCUCCCUUUUGUGAUUGGCGUCAAAAAGAGUUUUCCAGUCUUCCACCGGUGGCAAUCAAUGUUAGUCCAGGCGAUCACUUUUUGAUACUAAAUUGAUGAGGAUGUCCAAGGCCAAAAGAGUAGCGAGAAGAAUAAAAAUAUUGCUAGGGAAAGGCAAAGAUCAGCCAAAAGUCCCCAAGGUCCCAACUGAAGCAGCCAAAAAUUCACACAACACACCAAGAAAAAGAAAGUUGCAUAUAAGGCAUUUGUCAUUGUAGUCGAUUAGAUGAAUUAGUAUUGCCAAGACUUAGCUCAAAAAGGAAAAUUAAAUUUUCCUAGGGUAAUGAUCACACCAAAUAACUGAAUAAAGACCUUUCAAAACUGGAUGAGCCUAUCAAACCACCCAUGAGAGACCUAACAAAAAAACUCAAAGACGAAUGCAAAAGCUAGAACCAAGUAUCACGAGGUGAACGAACCUUGAGUGAAGUCAAGAAAUGACACAGAUUACCCCAUUCAGCUGUCUCCAACUCCUUGAGAUUAUAACAAAGAUGCAAAUCCCAAGCAUAUGAAUCUGCAACCCACACGUUAACCGAGAGUUGCGGUGCAUUAGGAUGAAGAGCAAGAUGAAAAAGUUGAGGGGAAACAGUGGAAACAACACCAAAAAGUGAGCCAAGAGUCUUUUCAGAAGGAAACGAAAGAUUCCAUUACCAAGACAUCAAUGUCCAUGAAGUGUCAUCAAAUGAAUGGUCCGACAAAUAAAGUGUCAAGUGGACUUAGAAGUGCCAUGAUGAGUAGGGGUAGGCCAGCUGCUCCCAUUACUAAAUUCAUAGUAUUUGGCACCAAAAAGCACUUUCCAAAGAACAUUCUCUUCAUGAAGAAAUCUCCAAAUUGUAUGUCCUAACGCUUUUAAGAUCAUCGACUUGAUGACAACUUAUCUAGGAUAUCCUAUGGCCUAUGCGGUUUCAUGUGUUAAGGAAAAUUAGGAUUUAUGAUUAUUAUUAUUUUCCUUUUAUGUAUUUUGCUUUAGUAGGUUUUUUUGAGAUCUAUUUAUUUUCCUACAUAAAAAGUCAUUAUUUAGUAUGUACCAUGAAUUAUUAUAUUUAAUAAUAUAUAAAAUUAACAUGGUAUCAGAGCUUAGGGUUUUGUCUCAUUGAACCCUAGCAGUCACAUCCUUCAAUCUCUGCCUUCGUUGAUCAGUCAUCGAUGGAGGCAGACCUGUCGCUUGCUUGUUGUAACAAGUCUUGUUCUGCCUACCCUUGCUCUAGUUCACACGCACUUCAAUCCAUUUUGUUGAGCUUUCAUAUUGUACUUCAAUCCAUCUGUUGUUGAACAAAUUUGCACCUGUCUCAAAUCCAUUCUUCUUGUUUGCACACAGCAACCAAAGUUCGCUGUUCUCCGUGUAUUCUGCCUAACUCCAUCUUUUCCCUUCCUAUCACGUGCCGCUUCAGAUCUGAUUUGCAGCCGCUACAGACUGUUCGAAUCACGUUUGUGCUCCCUAUUUCGUGAAGAUCGUGCAACAUUUGGUUUAGUCAUUAAGGCCGGCUCAUUUAAGUUUUGGUUCAACCAGUUUUGUUCGGUGUUUUCAUUUUGGUUUAGUCAAGCCAAUUCAGUUCACUUCAGUAAAACCAGUUUGAGUUUGGUUCAGUUUAAUUAGUUUGGUUUGCUUCAAGUUGGUUCAUUUGCAAUUAUGGCAAAUCAAAAUAAUAAUAAUCAUGAUGAUGAUGAUGAUGAUGAUGAUGAUGAUGAUGAUGAUGGGUUUUUGUUCCAUUUUCAAAUCAAUCUUUGUGGGGUUUGUUUAGAUACUAGAAGUUCUUGGUUUUGUUCUUCGUGGGAUUGUGUUUCUAGUCUAGAAGUUCUUGUUUUUGAUCUUCAUGAGUUUUUGGUUCUAUCCUAGAUAUGUUGAUUUGAUUUGGACAUUUUUUCACAAACUCAAGUUGUUCGUGAUUUUACACCUUGGGUUUGGGGGAGUGUGGUAAAAGAAAACUAGGAUUUGUGAUUA